CGGUCCUUAACCGGACCUUUCCUUCGGGACAGUUAAGACAGGUGGUGCAUGGUUGUCGUCAGCUCGUGUCGUGAGAUGUUGGGUUAAGUCCCGCAACGAGCGCAACCCCUAUCUUUAGUAGCCAGCAUUUCGGAUGGGCACUCUAGAGAGACUGCCAGGGAUAACCUGGAGGAAGGUGGGGACGACGUCAAAUCAUCAUGCCCCUUAUGGCCAGGGCUACACACGUGCUACAAUGGCGUAAACAAAGGGAAGCGAAGUCGUGAGGCGAAGCAAAUCCCAGAAAUAACGUCUCAGUUCGGAUUGUAGUCUGCAACUCGACUACAUGAAGCUGGAAUCGCUAGUAAUCGUGAAUCAGAAUGUCACGGUGAAUACGUUCCCGGGUCUUGUACACACCGCCCGUCACACCAUGGGAGUCAGUAACGCCCGAAGUCAGUGACCCAACCUUAUAGGAGGGAGCUGCCGAAGGUGGGACCGAUAACUGGGGUGAAGUCGUAACAAGGUAGCCGUAUCGGAAGGUGCGGCUGGAUCACCUC
rnacentral:rRNA from 1 species